CCUACGGGUGGCAGCAGUGGGGAAUAUUGGACAAUGGGGGCAACCCUGAUCCAGCCAUGCCGCGUGUGUGAAGAAGGCCCUCGGGUUGUAAAGCACUUUCAGUGAGGAAGAACGCCUGGUGGUUAAUACCCAUCAGGAAAGACAUCACUCACAGAAGAAGCACCGGCUAACUCCGUGCCAGCAGCCGCGGUCAUACGGAGGGUGCGAGCGUUAAUCGGAAUUACUGGGCGUAAAGCGCGCGUAGGUGGCUUGAUAAGCCGGUUGUGAAAGCCCCGGGCUCAACCUGGGAACGGCAUCCGGAACUGUCAAGCUAGAGUGCAGGAGAGGAAGGUAGAAUUCCCGGUGUAGCGGUGAAAUGCGUAGAGAUCGGGAGGAAUACCAGUGGCGAAGGCGGCCUUCUGGACUGACACUGACACUGAGGUGCGAAAGCGUGGGUAGCAAACAGGAUUAGAUACCCUAGUAGUC
rnacentral:rRNA from 1 species